GAUGAACGCUGGCGGCGUGCCUAAUACAUGCAAGUCGAGCGAACAGACGAGGAGCUUGCUCCUCUGACGUUAGCGGCGGACGGGUGAGUAACACGUGGAUAACCUACCUAUAAGACUGGGAUAACUUCGGGAAACCGGAGCUAAUACCGGAUAAUAUGUUGAACCGCAUGGUUCAAUAGUGAAAGACGGUUUUGCUGUCACUUAUAGAUGGAUCCGCGCCGCAUUAGCUAGUUGGUAAGGUAACGGCUUACCAAGGCGACGAUGCGUAGCCGACCUGAGAGGGUGAUCGGCCACACUGGAACUGAGACACGGUCCAGACUCCUACGGGAGGCAGCAGUAGGGAAUCUUCCGCAAUGGGCGAAAGCCUGACGGAGCAACGCCGCGUGAGUGAUGAAGGUCCUCGGAUCGUAAAACUCUGUUAUUAGGGAAGAACAAAUGUGUAAGUAACUAUGCACGUCUUGACGGUACCUAAUCAGAAAGCCACGGCUAACUACGUG
rnacentral:rRNA from 1 species